GCCACUGAGGGGCACAGAGCACCCCAAGGCUACUCAGCAACGCUUGAGGGUAUUCAUGGCUCCCCACCCCACCCCCCCAAGAGAGAGUCCUAGAGAAGACCCUGGUCCAGGAAUCCAGGAACGGGUGGGCAUGUUCUAGUCACAUCCCCCACCCUGUGGGGGCCAGCCUUCCUUGCUAUUCCAGCCUACACAGAUGCCAUUUUCCCCAUUUUGACUAUUGAUAUGCCCACCACUCUACCGGGCACUAAAAGGGCUAGAGUGUAGUCCUUUUAGACAGCGCUUCUCAGCCUCAGCAUUACUGACAUUUGAGGCCAGGUAACUGUUGUGGGGGCUGUCCUAUGUACUAUAGGAUGUCUAGUAGCAUCCCUGGCCCCCACCUACAAAACACCACUAGCACCCCAAACCCGGGUUUGACAACCAAAGAUACCUCCACCCUUCCAGUGUCCCCUGGUUGAGACGACUGCUCUAGGAGCUUAAAAUCUAGUUAGGAGAGAACCCAAGGGUUCCCCGUGGGGUGACUAACUGUCCCACUUAGCCCAGGCCUUUCCGUUUAACACUACAAUCUCUCAGUCCCAGGCAAAGAGUGAUGGUUGAACACCCCAGAGAGCAUGAGGCAGGAUGCAAGGGUCGAAAUGUGUCCCAGGCUGACCAGGGGAGAAGGAGCUCAGCCUGGGCUAGAGUGGUGAGGGAAUGCUUGGGAACUGCGGGGAGGAGGGGAGGGCGGUGAGCUGGGUUUCCAUAACUGUGUGUGUGGUGGGGGUGUCUCUAAAAGCAGAGUGGAGAAGGAGCUGGAGCUCAUCAUGUGUGCCAUAUAAGCUCCUAGCAGUCUUCUGCCUUGCUCUUUACUGCUUGUAUUAACUCUCAAACCCAAAGUUGACACAACCACACCCAUCAAAGUCAUUUCCUGAACUCUCCUUAUUAGCACAAGGUUGGGCCCAGAGCAGGUAUUUAAGAAAAGAUCUACUGAUUGAGAGCUCAGGAAUUCAGGUUUUUGGAUCCUUUUAUCUCCUUCCUGUUCUCCAGCUCCAAAGUAUAAAACCCUUUGGACAGCAGCUCUAGGGCUGAGAAAUCUCAGAAUGCCCAGCUGAGAGACAGCCUAGUACUUUUCCAGGCCAGCCUGUCUCCACUCAUCUAAAGGAGAUAACCAGGUGGGAGAAACAGCUCCGCAGAGCAGAAGUCACAGCCUCGGAGUCCUGGCUCAGGCUCUGCUUCAGCUGCGCUGCUGCGUUGUCUCCAAUUAGAAACUGGAAUUCCGGCACCUCUGCAGGAAGGUCAGGCCAGGACCCGCAUCAGGAAUGGUUAAGAUGGAACCCACAAACAGUGGAAAGCUGGAGGAGGCCUCCCCGUCUCAUUCCUAACCAAGGAGCCAGGCAAAGCUAUGUAAGUUUCGCAGUGAAAAUUUACUGCUUAUGACCAGCCUUCAGCAACCACACCUGAGCCUGGUCUCAUGAGCCUCCCCCAGGAACAUCAAGAAUUCAUGAGGCCAUGGGACUUCCCUGGUGGUCCAGUGGUUAAGAAUCUGCCUUGCAAUGCAGGGGAUGCAGGUUCAAUACCUGGUUGGGGAACCAAGAUCCCACAUACGGCAGAGCAACUAAGCCUGAGCACUGCAACUACUGAGCCUGAGCACCCUGGAGCCUGUAUGCCACAAACUAGAGCAUCCGUGCAACAUAAUGAAAGGUUCGGCUUGAUGUAGUGACAAUCCCGCCUGCCACAAUAAAGACCUGAUGUAACCAAA